rnacentral:rRNA from 1 species
UACGAGGGGGGCGAGCGUUGUUCGGAAUUAUUGGGCGUAAAGGGUGCGUAGGCGGUUCCGCAAGUCCUGUGUGAAAUCUUCGGGCUCAACUCGAAGUCUGCACGGGAAACUGCGGGGCUUGAGUGUGGGAGAGGUGAGUGGAAUUCCUGGUGUAGCGGUGAAAUGCGCAGAUAUCAGGAGGAACACCGGUGGCGAAGGCGGGUCUCUGGGCCGAUACUGACGCUGAUGCACGAAAGCGUGGGUAGCAACAGG